CCCCUGGAUGGACAGAGGAAGAAGAGGGAGGGCCGUAGGUACCGGAAGAUGAAGGAGCGUUUGGGGCUGACGGAGAUCCGGAAACAGGCCAACAGGAUGAGCUUUGGGGAGGUAGCUAAUUAACACUAAUUAGCACUAAUUAAUCAGGAGAUGGGUAAUUAACCCCAAUUAACCAGGAGGAGGGGGGUAAUUAACCCCAAUUAACCAGGAGGAGGUAGGUAAUUAACCCCAAUUAAACAAGGGGA